rnacentral:rRNA from 1 species
CGUAAACAAAGGGAAGCGAGACGGUGACGUUAAGCAAAUCCCAGAAAUAACGUCCCAGUUCGGAUUGUAGUCUGCAACCCGACUACAUGAAGCUGGAAUCGCUAGUAAUCGCGAAUCAGAAUGUCGCGGUGAAUACGUUCCCGGGUCUUGUACACACCGCCCGUCACACCAUGGGAGUCGGAAAUGCCCGAAGUCAGUGACCCAACCGUAAGGAGGGAGCUGCCGAAGGUGGAGCCGGUAACUGGGGUGAAGUCGUAACAAGGUAUC